CUUUACUGUAGCCUGGUAUUGGGUUCGGGCUUUGACUGCGCAGGAUAGGUGGGAGACUGAGAAGUGUGCCUUGUGGGGCACAUGGAGUCAACGGUGAGAUACCACUCUGUCAGAGCUAGAAUUCUAACCUUCACCCGUAAUCCGGGGAAGGAACCGUAUCAGGUGGGCAGUUUGACUGGGGCGGUCGCCUCCUAAAAGGUAACGGAGGCGCGCAAAGGUGUUCUCAGGCUGGUUGGAAAUCAGCCGUAGAGUGUAAAGGCAGAAGAACGCUUGACUGUGAGAGUGACAACUCGAGCAGGGUGGAAACACGGCCUUAGUGAUCCGACGGUAUGUGCGUGGAAAUGCCGUCGCUCAACGGAUAAAAGUUA
rnacentral:rRNA from 1 species